rnacentral:lncRNA from 10 species
AAAGACACCUGGAUUCUCAUAUCUGCUUCUGCAUUCAAUCUAUGGCAAUAUGUUAUUUAGGUUGAAAUAUAUGAAGAAAAUCAUAUAUAUGAAGUAUAUGAAGAAAAUCUAGCCUCUCAUGGUACAUAGUUGGAAAAUGGCAGAAUAUUUUACUAGUCCAUGCAGAUAACUGUGGAUAUUUUUCUUUGACACCACCCUAAAACUUAAGAAAUGGUAGUGUCUGGCAGGUUAAGUACAAUGUGGAAUAUAAAAUCAUAUCUGUGAACUUUUCAUACUAUGUUACAUUGCACUUUGAAUAAUCUUUUAUCCAUGUGUAAUUUUGUAACAUCAUACACUGGUCAUUUGGAAAAUACUGAUUCAAAGAGUUAUGCAGAUCUUUGAAAUGUUGACGUAGUUCACUAUACAACAUCAAAAAAUCACAUGUUAAUAUUACCACCCAUCUCAUAAAAAAUCUUAAUGUAUUAGGAAGCUAUAAAGCUCAAAAUUAUGAAUAAACAUUUUACAAAAUUCUAAUUUUAACAUGACAGAUUGAAUUAUAUCAUUGGCAACAAAUAUUAGUUAUUUUUGAAGUGACAGGCUCACUUGCAAGAAAAUGUUUUCCUACUGCCCAAGUCUGAACAAACAAAGUUUUUCAUUCUUUGGUGAAAAAUAUGGUGUUUUGUCAAAAAAGCAGUUGGUUUAACUCACAAUUUUUUUGGGGGUGGGGACGUAGUCUCACUUUGUCACCAGGCUGAAUGAAGUUUACAGAUUAGUAAAAUUCUUACAUUAUACAACAAAGUAGUAUGUUAUUAAUUUCAAGUAGACCAUGCUAAAUUAAGGAUGCAUAUUGUAAUCCCAAAAGUAAAUACAAAUAAUACAGCAAAAGAUAACAGAUGAGAUAAAAUGGAAUACUAAAAAAUACUUGAUGAAUCCAAGAAGGUGGAAACAAAAGAAAGAACUAGUGAAACAAAAAAUAGCAAGAUAGUAAACUGAAAUCUAACCAUAUCAAUAGUGACAUUAAAUGAAUAUGUAGGAGUGAUGUCACACAAAAUGAUGAAAUAGGAAGCUCUAAGGGCUGGUACCUCCAUCAAAGCAACAAUUGAGCUGGAAAGACAGAUUGUCAUUGGCCAGGUGCGGUGGGCCACACCUGUAA